UAAAGCAAAUUCCCUUCUGUGCAGCAUUAACAUGGAGUGCUGUGCUGAUACUUCAGCACACUACGACUGAGUUCCAAUACCCUUUCUGCCAUACUAUUUAGUAUGCCAGACAUAUAUUUAGUAUGUCCAAAUACAGUGGAUAUGUCAAAUGCAGUUUGCCAAAAAUAAUAGGAUGUCCUACUGCAUCUGGUCAGAUGUUGCAGAAGACAA